CCCCUGCCAGCGUUUCUUUCUAAGCCGGCCAGCAGCUCCACUUCUCAUUUUUCACUUCAUUCUCUGCCGUCCCUAAACUUCUCCAAAAUGAACUACAGAAAAUCCACCAUGAAUCCGACAUCUUCUUCCUAUAUCUCCAUGACCCGCUCCGGACCCCAGUAUUCUUCCAGCAUUUAUGGCGGUGCUGGUGGAAAGGGCUCCCGCAUUUCCUCUUUCUCCACAUCUUCCCUGCGGUCUGGUGCCCCAAUGACCUCUUCAUCCUCUGCCUUCAAGCUGAGCAAUGCAUUGGGUGGUGGUAUGGGCUCAGGUUUUGGUGGUGCCGGUGCAUCCAUGGCGACUGGUGGUGGUGCCGGCAGUUCUAGCAUCACGGGCAACGAGAAGGGAGCCAUGCGGAACCUGAACGACCGCCUGGCUAACUACCUGGAGACGGUGAGGAACCUGGAACAGGCCAACAAGGAGCUGGAGAUGAAGAUCAUGGAGGCUCUGGAGAAGGGAGGGCCCAACCUGAGAGACUACAGCAAGUAUGAACCCAUCAUAGAAGACCUUCGCAGACAGAUCUUCGAUGAGAUUUUGGACAACGCUCGUUUUGUGCUCCAGAUCGACAAUGCCCGUCUUGCUGCUGACGACUUCAAAGUAAAGUUCGACAAUGAGUUGGCAAUCCGACAGUCUGUGGAGGCUGACAUCGCUGGUCUGAAGAAAGUCAUAGAUGACACCAACAUGACCAGGAUGAACAUCGAGAGCGAGAUUGAAAAUGUGAAGGAGGAGCUCACCUUCCUGAAGAAGAACCAUGAGAUUGAGGUGAUGGAGCUGAGGAAUCAGAUCUCCAACUCAGGAGUGCAAGUGGACAUUGACGCCCCCAAAGGUCAGGACCUGGCUCAGAUCAUGCAAGACGUGAGAGGCAACUAUGAGAAGAUCGCCAUGAAAAACGCAGAAGACCUCAAACAGUGGCAUGAAAAUCAGAUUGCAGAUGUGCAGGUGGAGGUAUCACAGAACACAGAAGCUCUCCAUGGAGCACAAAUGGAGAGGGGUGAUUCGUCCAGGCAGAUACAGACACUGGAAAUUGAACUUGCGUCCCAACAGAGCUUAAAAGCGUCCCUAGAGGAGACAUUACGCAACACAGAGCAGCGUAACAACAUGGAAACGGAGAAGUAUAACAACAUUAUUAUCCGUCUGGAGGAGGAGCUGACCAACUUGCGUGCAAACAUCCAGAAUCAGACCCAAGAGUAUGAGUCGCUGCUCAGCAUGAAGAUGAAACUGGAGGCCGAGAUUGGAACUUACAAGAGUCUGCUGGAUGGUGGAGACUUCAAGUAAGAGAGUUAGGUGGAGGAGAAAAUACAGAUCCAGGCAUGGUGUUGAUGGUGGUGGAGGCUCCAGGAUGCACUGGAAGAGCUGGCGGCCGCAAACUAAUUUGGAACAAAGAAUCUGGGACCAUCCCAACAAUGAAAGCUGAACAACCCACAACUUUCCAUUACGGAAAAGAAUCAUGCUGGUCCAAUCAACUAAAGCCAGUUUUGAACCAAGACUACAUUCCAUGUUAACCAUAAAUAAAGCAAUUCUGAAUAAAGGCAUUCGACCUCAGGCAAGGCUAUUUGAAAAAAAAUAACAGUGCCUGACUUGACAGCAAAAUAAAAAUGAAUAAAACCACUUGUUGACCCACAGUAA